rnacentral:rRNA from 2 species
UUAAGCGACUAAGCGUACACGGUGGAUGCCCUGGCAGUCAGAGGCGAUGAAGGACGUGCUAAUCUGCGAAAAGCGCCGGCGAGGUGAUAUGAACCCUUGACCCGGCGAUGUCCGAAUGGGGAAACCCAGUGCAAUCCGUUGCACUAUCGUUAACUGAAUACAUAGGUUAACGAGGCGAACCGGGGGAACUGAAACAUCUAAGUACCCCGAGGAAAAGAAAUCAACCGAGAUUCCCCCAGUAGCGGCGAGCGAACGGGGAGCAGCCCGGAGUCUGAAUCAGCUUGUGUGUUAGUGGAACGGUCUGGAAAGUCCGACGGUACAGGGUGAUAGUCCCGUACACGAAAGCACACAUGCUGUGAACUCGAAGAGUAGGGCGGGACACGUGGUAUCCUGUCUGAAUAUGGGGGGACCAUCCUCCAAGGCUAAAUACUCCUGACUGACCGAUAGUGAACCAGUACCGUGAGGGAAAGGCGAAAAGAACCCCGGCGAGGGGAGUGAAAAAGAACCUGAAACCGUGUACGUACAAGCAGUGGGAGCCUCUUUAUGGGGUGACUGCGUACCUUUUGUAUAAUGGGUCAGCGACUUAUAUUCUGUAGCAAGGUUAACCGUAUAGGGGAGCCGAAGGGAAACCGAGUCUUAACUGGGCGUUAAGUUGCAGGGUAUAGACCCGAAACCCGGUGAUCUAGCCAUGGGCAGGUUGAAGGUUGGGUAACACUAACUGGAGGACCGAACCGACUAAUGUUGAAAAAUUAGCGGAUGACCUGUGGCUGGGGGUGAAAGGCCAAUCAAACCGGGAGAUAGCUGGUUCUCCCCGAAAGCUAUUUAGGUAGCGCCUCGUGAAUUCAUCUUCGGGGGUAGAGCACUGUUUCGGCUAGGGGGCCAUCCCGGCUUACCAACCCGAUGCAAACUACGAAUACCGAAGAAUGUUAUCACGGGAGACACACGGCGGGUGCUAACGUCCGUCGUGAAGAGGGAAACAACCCAGACCGCCAGCUAAGGUCCCAAAGUCAUGGUUAAGUGGGAAACGAUGUGGGAAGGCACAGACAGCCAGGAUGUUGGCUUAGAAGCAGCCAUCAUUUAAAGAAAGCGUAAUAGCUCACUGGUCGAGUCGGCCUGCGCGGAAGAUGUAACGGGGCUAAACCAUGCACCGAAGCUGCGGCAGCGACGCUUAUGCGUUGUUGGGUAGGGGAGCGUUCUGUAAGCCGUUGAAGGUGUGCUGUGAGGCAUGCUGGAGGUAUCAGAAGUGCGAAUGCUGACAUAAGUAACGAUAAAGCGGGUGAAAAGCCCGCUCGCCGGAAGACCAAGGGUUCCUGUCCAACGUUAAUCGGGGCAGGGUGAGUCGACCCCUAAGGCGAGGCCGAAAGGCGUAGUCGAUGGGAAACAGGUUAAUAUUCCUGUACUUGGUGUUACUGCGAAGGGGGGACGGAGAAGGCUAUGUCAGCCGGGCGACGGUUGUCCCGGUUUAAGCAUGUAGGCGGAGGUUCCAGGUAAAUCCGGUACCUUUUAACGCUGAGGUGUGAUGACGAGGCACUACGGUGCUGAAGUGAUAAAUGCCCUGCUUCCAGGAAAAGCCUCUAAGCAUCAGGUAACACGAAAUCGUACCCCAAACCGACACAGGUGGUCAGGUAGAGAAUACCAAGGCGCUUGAGAGAACUCGGGUGAAGGAACUAGGCAAAAUGGUGCCGUAACUUCGGGAGAAGGCACGCUGAUGUGUAGGUGAAGCCCCUGCGGGCGGAGCUGAAAUCAGUCGAAGAUACCAGCUGGCUGCAACUGUUUAUUAAAAACACAGCACUGUGCAAACACGAAAGUGGACGUAUACGGUGUGACGCCUGCCCGGUGCCGGAAGGUUAAUUGAUGGGGUUAGCGGCAACGCGAAGCUCUUGAUCGAAGCCCCGGUAAACGGCGGCCGUAACUAUAACGGUCCUAAGGUAGCGAAAUUCCUUGUCGGGUAAGUUCCGACCUGCACGAAUGGCGUAAUGAUGGCCAGGCUGUCUCCACCCGAGACUCAGUGAAAUUGAACUCGCUGUGAAGAUGCAGUGUACCCGCGGCAAGACGGAAAGACCCCGUGAACCUUUACUAUAGCUUGACACUGAACACUGGUCCUUGAUGUGUAGGAUAGGUGGGAGGCUUUGAAGCGUGGACGCCAGUCUGCGUGGAGCCAACCUUGAAAUACCACCCUUUAAUGGCUGGUGUUCUAACGUAGACCCGUAAUCCGGGUUGCGGACAGUGUCUGGUGGGUAGUUUGACUGGGGCGGUCUCCUCCCAAAGAGUAACGGAGGAGCACGAAGGUUGGCUAAUCCUGGUCGGACAUCAGGAGGUUAGUGCAAUGGCAUAAGCCAGCUUGACUGCGAGCGUGACGGCGCGAGCAGGUGCGAAAGCAGGUCAUAGUGAUCCGGUGGUUCUGAAUGGAAGGGCCAUCGCUCAACGGAUAAAAGGUACUCCGGGGAUAACAGGCUGAUACCGCCCAAGAGUUCAUAUCGACGGCGGUGUUUGGCACCUCGAUGUCGGCUCAUCACAUCCUGGGGCUGAAGUAGGUCCCAAGGGUAUGGCUGUUCGCCAUUUAAAGUGGUACGCGAGCUGGGUUUAGAACGUCGUGAGACAGUUCGGUCCCUAUCUGCCGUGGGCGCUGGAGAAUUGAGGGGAGCUGCUCCUAGUACGAGAGGACCGGAGUGGACGCAUCACUGGUGUUCGGGUUGUCAUGCCAAUGGCACUGCCCGGUAGCUAAAUGCGGAAGAGAUAAGUGCUGAAAGCAUCUAAGCACGAAACUUGCCCCGAGAUGAGUUCUCCCUGAGACCUUGAGUCUCCUGAAGGAACGUUAAAGACUAUGACGUUGAUAGGUCGGGUGUGUAAGCGCAGCGAUGCGUUGAGCUAACCGAUACUAAUGAACCGUGAGGCUUAACCUU